UAAAAAGGGCCUUAACCACGGAGAGCUUGGCCCAAGCUUCGAUCAUGAGCCUUCCGCAAUGCGAUACCGAUUGUGAAUUGCCCAAUUCCACGAAUCAUCGAGCUUUAAACCUCAGUUGCGCCCGAGGAUUGUCCACCGCCAUUCCGUUAAUAACCUCACC
rnacentral:rRNA from 1 species